rnacentral:rRNA from 1 species
CGGGAUAAUAUAUUUGAGAGGCAUCUCUUGAAUAUCAAAGGUGAGCCAGUACAGGAUGGACCCGCGUCUGAUUAGCUAGUUGGUAAGGUAACGGCUUACCAAGGCAACGAUCAGUAGCCGACCUGAGCGGGUGAUCGGCCACAUUGGAACUGAGACACGGUCCAAACUCCUACGGGAGGCAGCAGUGGGGAAUAUUGCACAAUGGGCGAAAGCCUGAUGCAGCAACGCCGCGU